rnacentral:lncRNA from 1 species
AAGAGAACCAAACCGCACCAGCAGCACGUAGAGAUGAAGCACAUUACGCCAACUGUAAAUAUUCCUACGGCACUGUAACACGAGUCAUACAGGUCUCCGGGAUGCAAAAUGGCAAAAAAGAAAUAAUUCAUGCGGCUGAAUUACUCUCGAAAAAAAACGAUCGUUCUCAUCAUCGGAUUCUUCCUGAUAAUGGAUACAGCCUUGACGUGUAGCGAAUAGCGUCGUUGCAGAGGUUAACAAACAAGACACUUGUUUCGCUUAAGGAGUUAAUUUACGUCUCGCUUGCAUCGUUUACAAAAUAGAUGCAUUUUCAGAUAACCGCUCUAGGAUUUAAAAAUACAGCAUCGUACUCACUUACAGUUGGGAUGUCUUCGUGUCUGGCAAAGACCUGUAUCGCUGGACCAUCGUCUGAUUAACAGAGAUGUAUGCGGUAAAAAGCUUUGGAUGAAAUUCUUACGAGGAUUGUUGCACGUGAAAAGGGAGGAGAAAUAAAGCAUCGAGCUUACUUCAGAAAUUGGAUUCUUUUGGCCUCCGUGGCUCUUCGCCAGAUUUCGACGGGUCCUCCCAGCUCGGGAAGAUCCGCAAGUUUCUACUCGUGGACCAAAAUGGCGUCCCCAGAUGCGGACAUCAACGCCUCGCGGUUUUCUAAAAGUCACCGAACACCGACACCCUCUAAAUUCCUCUGCAUUGAAUAAUUGAUGAUUUCGCAAGGUCCACGGAAAUUUCUUAGGAAGACAUGGAACGAUUAAGGACAAAAACGGUCCGUCAGAAAAUUCUCCUUCCUCGACGCGCCUUCCAGCCUGUCCUGCGCCUCUAACCUCGCAUUAUUAAUUCCCGCGGGGAAUAGUUGUCAAAUUGUUCGUAACGCACGUUCAUAGGAGUUCGAUUGAAUUUCCAUGAUGUAGCUUUCCGGGAAUUUCAAAGGCUGCGCCCUGGCACGCGAUAAUCGAGGCCUCAGCCUUGCUCGCGCCGAGGUGCAUAAUAAACAAUUUACAAAGAGUCACUCAGCCGCGAUAAAUUUUCAUUAAUUUGGAGUUGAACAAAUUGCUCGGAUAAUUACGAGGCAGCCAGGGCGAUUAAUCACUUCAGUUUGUGGUUCGUGAACCGCGCGACUCCAACGGCAACCACUCGACGGUCCGCCAUUGUUUCGCGCUUCCAUUGUAGCCUUUUGCAGUUUCCCUCCAUAAACAUUUCACCUAGCUCGGGGCAUGAGCUUCUUCUCUCGACGUACCCAAAGUGGCUUUCAAUGGGAAAAUUCCGGACCUGGAGACCGAACUGCUCAGCGUUCUGAGAUAGCAGAAAUAGAGUCAAGAAAUUAUUCCCACGGACUUGUACGCGUCCCUGAUGGAAUUACUAGUAAUUUCAGGUCAAAGAAAAAGUGAUCCCUGGCUCGUUCAUGACUCAAUUAUACCAACUGGACCGUUGCAUAACGUGUACUCGUACGUGCACACACGUUACAGCUGAAUUACAAAGAAACGACUAGACGCGCCGAAGAAGGAACUCCGGUUCAACGAUCAACUUUCAACGCCCUCGUCCAAGGAGACGUAAAUUUCUAAAUUCGCUUCUGCGGACGAAGAAAAAUUA